rnacentral:rRNA from 1 species
UACGUAGGGUGCGAGCGUUAAUCGGAAUUACUGGGCGUAAAGCGUGCGCAGGCGGUUAUGCAAGACAGAUGUGAAAUCCCCGGGCUCAACCUGGGAACUGCAUUUGUGACUGCAUAGCUGGAGUGCGGCAGAGGGGGAUGGAAUUCCGCGUGUAGCAGUGAAAUGCGUAGAGAUGUGGAGGAACACCGAUGGCGAAGGCAGCCUCCUGGGCCAGCACUGACGCGCAUGCACGAAAGCGUGGGGAGCAAACAGG